GUUUUUAGCUGAAAAAGUCACUAUUGGUAGAGCGAGUUGAGCAGGACAAAGAUCACAUUAUGGUCUAUCUGACUGAGCUUUUGAAGAACAUACCCAUCAAUCACGAGUUACUGCUGAUACAAGAACUCCCAGUGCACAACUUGAAGCCCGCUGUGGUUAGACUCUAUGACUACUACCAGACAAGUGACAAAGAUGAGACUGAGUACAUUUUCCCCUGUGUUUGAGUUUGAAGAAUGAAGAUUUAUCAUC